CUUACUUAAAAUGCCUAAAAUUAAACGGUCGAAAGUGUGGCUAUAUUUAAAAAAAAAGGAUUCUGACACCUCGACGUGCAGCAAAUGUUUUACAGCAGUUGCGUGUAAAGGGGGAAACACGUCAAAUCUGAUGAAACAUUUGAGGGCACACGGAAUUCAUUUUAAAACAGAGGGAUGCACUAUGUUUGACAGCUUGCGGACAACAGCUGGCACUAUCGGUGUGGAUAACCCCAGCCCCAGUCAUACCAACCGUAGCAAAAAGGAGUCCACCGAUUAUGUUGAGGACAGCAGGCUUUCCGCAGCUAGUACUAGUAGUACUACAACAGUGACCCCAUUUACCAUUGCAAAGAAGGCUAAUUUGACUAAGGAGAAGGUGGAGGAACUCCACAGGGCUGUGACCAAAUUUGUGGUCAAGGGACUGCAUUCCUUUUCCACUGUGGAAUCCCCAUGUUUCAGGGAGAUGACUGCUGCCCUUAAUCCUCGCUACCGACCCCCAUCCAGAGAUUAUUUGUCCAGCACUCUUAUUCCUGCAUGGUACUCUGUUGAGAAACAAAAUGUUAUUCAGGAUUUAGCACAAGUGAGUAAGGCUGCUAUCACAUGUGAUGGGUGGACCAGUGUGGCACAGGACCACUAUUUAACAGUUACUGUGCACUACACCAGUGAAGGCCACAUUAAGCAAAAAGUGCUAAACACCAAAGUCACAAACAGGCCUCAUGGUGGCAGACGAGAUAAAUUGCAUUCUAGAGGAAUUCCAGAUAAACACUAAAGUUGUAGCUGCCACAGUAGACAAUGCCAGCAAUAUGGAUGUUGCACUGAAGAAUCUUAAGCUUUUAAAGGUGGGGUGCUUUGCCCACACCCUAAACCUGACCGCACAGAAGGUUUACAGCAUCAGUGCUAUUACAAAGUGGUGUGUCAGACUUCGAUCGAUUGUAGUGUGGCUGAGGAGGUCCUCCAUGGCAAAGAUUGUGCUGCGGGAGAAGCAGCAACUUCUCAAUCUGCCACAGCAUAACAUGAUUCUGGAUGUCAAAAUACGGUGGAACUCCCUUUUCUUGAUGGUGGAGAGAUUUUUAGAGCAGUACCCAGCCAUCCAGGCAGCAUCACUUGACCAACGACUCAGGAAGCUAAUGGAGAAAGACAAACUGGAAAGACUCACAGAUGGUGACUUCCAGAAAGCAGAGGAUUUUGUUAAAAACAUGAAGCUGUUGUACACCUCAACCCUCUGUGUAUCCAGUGAGAAGUCUCCCACAUGUGGCCAAAUUCUUCCCAUACUGACUAAGCUGGAGGAGCAUUUUACAGUGGCUGAACAGGACACUGUGUUUGCCAGUACUGUACUUUGAAAGAGAAAGUCUGGGGAGAUCUGGAGAAACGAUAUCAGGAUGAAGACAUUAAGAACUUCCUCCAGGAGGCCACCUUGAUGGACCCUCGCUUCAAAGGCAAACUUGGAUGUGCUGUUGUUGCUGAUGCUUGGGGCCGGUUGGAGAAAGCAGCAGUUUGCAAUGUAACAGCAGAACAGCUUCCAAUGGAGCACAACAUCGAGGAAGAAUCUGAAGAUACAUUGGAUGAGCAUCAGGAGGACAAGUCACUGAAUGCAGAAGAACAUUCUCCAUAUCACAAGAAGUGGGCCAAGAAGUCAUCCCUAGAAGAGCUGUUUGAGGAUGAGGACCGAGAGUUACUUCAGGCAGCCACAACCUCAAGAAGUGGUGCCAUCACCAAAGCUGAACAGGCCCAUAAUGAGAUUAAAAUCUACCAAGGUCUACCUUCAGUCUCAUCAGGACAAGACCCUGUAGCUUGGUGGUGGGGAAAGCGGGACAGUCUU